rnacentral:rRNA from 1 species
GACGAACGCUGGCGGCGUGCUUAACACAUGCAAGUCGAACGGAAAGGCCCUGCUUGCAGGGUACUCGAGUGGCGAACGGGUGAGUAACACGUGGGUGAUCUGCCCUGCACUUCGGGAUAAGCCUGGGAAACUGGGUCUAAUACCGGAUAGGAGCCAUUUUUAGUGUGAUGGUUGGAAAGUUUUUUCGGUGUAGGAUGAUCUCGCGGCCUAUCAGCUUGUUGGUGGGGUAAUGGCCUACCAAGGCGGCGACGGGUAGCCGGCCUGAGAGGGUGGACGGCCACAUUGGGACUGAGAUACGGCCCAGACUCCUACGGGAGGCAGCAGUGGGGAAUAUUGCACAAUGGGCGCAAGCCUGAUGCAGCGACGCCGCGUGGGGGAUGACGGCCUUCGGGUUGUAACCUCCUUUCGCUAGGGACGAAGCUUUUUGUGACGGUACCUAGAUAAGAAGCACCGGCUAACUACGUG